rnacentral:rRNA from 1 species
AGUCGAACGGUGAAGCAGAGCUUGCUCUGUGGAUCAGUGGCGAACGGGUGAGUAACACGUGAGCAACCUGCCCCGGACUCUGGGAUAAGCGCUGGAAACGGCGUCUAAUACUGGAUACGAGCAGCGGAGGCAUCUUCAGCUGCUGGAAAGAUUUUUUGGUCUGGGAUGGGCUCGCGGCCUAUCAGCUUGUUGGUGAGGUAAUGGCUCACCAAGGCGUCGACGGGUAGCCGGCCUGAGAGGGUGACCGGCCACACUGGGACUGAGACACGGCCCAGACUCCUACGGGAGGCAGCAGUGGGGAAUAUUGCACAAUGGGCGGAAGCCUGAUGCAGCAACGCCGCGUGAGGGACGACGGCCUUCGGGUUGUAAACCUCUUUUAGCAAGGAAGAAGCGAAAGUGACGGUACUUGCAGAAAAAGCGCCGGCUAACUACGUGCCAGCAGCCGCGGUAAUACGUAGGGCGCAAGCGUUAUCCGGAAUUAUUGGGCGUAAAGAGCUCGUAGGCGGUUUGUCGCGUCUGCUGUGAAAACCCGAGGCUCAACCUCGGGCCUGCAGUGGGUACGGGCAGACUAGAGUGCGGUAGGGGAGAUUGGAAUUCCUGGUGUAGCGGUGGAAUGCGCAGAUAUCAGGAGGAACACCGAUGGCGAAGGCAGAUCUCUGGGCCGUAACUGACGCUGAGGAGCGAAAGGGUGGGGAGCAAACAGGCUUAGAUACCCUGGUAGUCCACCCCGUAAACGUUGGGAACUAGUUGUGGGGUCCAUUCCACGGAUUCCGUGACGCAGCUAACGCAUUAAGUUCCCCGCCUGGGGAGUACGGCCGCAAGGCUAAAACUCAAAGGAAUUGACGGGGACCCGCACAAGCGGCGGAGCAUGCGGAUUAAUUCGAUGCAACGCGAAGAACCUUACCAAGGCUUGACAUACACGAGAACACCCUGGAAACAGGGGACUCUUUGGACACUCGUGAACAGGUGGUGCAUGGUUGUCGUCAGCUC